UAAUGUACAGACAACUCACCUGUUAUGGCUUAGAAAUGGAGUACAUCUCCGUAUUGGAAAAGACACCUCUUCUGUAACCACAACCCCAUUGAAACCAAAUGGGUCAUCCUCACACUGCAAUGAAACGUAUAAAACAUAACCAUCUUUAGUUCAAUAUUUAGUGUCCUGACAUUACGGUCAUUCAAAGAAAGUAUUUUACAAGCUUCUUUCAGUAAGUAUAUGAUACAUCAAAGUAAAACAAACAUACCAGUGCAUCUCGUGAGUAAUGGUAGGUGUCAGUUUCAAUAACUACUACAUAUGAAUAGGCCACUGCAUUGUCCACACACUGGGUAGGGUCCUGUAAUAUGCCACAAUGUAUCCAUAAUUAUAUAUAGACAAUACCUGGUGUUUUUUAAAAGAAGGAUCGAAGGAGUAAAUAGCUAUGCUUCCAAUCUAACGAAAAGGUAGUAAUACAACUGAGCAAUAAUAUCAUAGUAUCAUUCGGGAGUCUGAAGCGGUUGGUUUCACAGCAUAUUGCGCCACUCACAGUGUAAUUGAACUGUUAUAUUAAAGUCACACUGGGAAAAUUAAGAUAAUUCACGAUCGGCACCACUUCCUACUUUUGCUGUUGUUGUCCUCAAGACAUUAUUCUAAGAACAAAUAUGCCUAGUAUAUUUGAGUCAUUAUUGAUUGUAAUGACUAAACUGAUGUUUGCAGUGCACUAUAGUGAACAUAGUCAUGUUAUUAUCAAGCUGCUUAUUAGUGGUUUAUUCAACUAUGUAUUGCCGCCAUUACGGUAGAUUUAGGUUUGAGAGGAUGAGCUCUAGGGGCACCAUAAUGUACACCUGUGUUCCAAUAAUGUACAAUCUAGUAGGUUAACCUGUUCUGCCUCAUUUUUCAUUCAUUUAGUGACCAAAAUAAGCAUAAUACUUCAAAAUCAAAACUUUACCAUUUCUUCAAGAACACUCUCGUCCGCCAUUCUUUGUUGGCGGAUGCAAAAUGGUGUCACUAUGAAAGUGUCACUGUGACCUACGUCAUCAAUGCCACUACUGUAGUCUGAACUCCAUACUAAUUUGUCAUUUUUUUCAAAAGCUGAAAAGUGUAUAUUUAUAAAUAAAAUGUACCUGUUUUGAAUUUGGCCAUAAGAUAAGUGUUCGGUUGAAUUAAUUAUUCAAGAAAUGCUGAGGCGACACUUGGUUUGGCUAAGGGUGAAGGUUAGGGUUAGGGCUAGGGUUAGUGGAUAGUUAGUAGAAAUGUUGUUGACAGUUAUUGAACAUCUACCGAACGUCUACAAAUCGUCUACUUGAGACUAUCCAAAUAAAGUGUCACCAAUGCUGAAAAUGAAGAUGGUAUGUAACCACAGUUUUCUUACCGUAGAAUAGUGCCCUUGAAUAAAACUCCACUAGUUAUUGCAUAGAUGACCUUUCAGUUCACACGGACUCAGUCAAACAUUAUUAUUAUCUAUCCAAAUGUUGUUCAGGUUCCUUUUCUCCGGUUAAACAAAGCUUGAGAUCAUGAGCCUGUUGAUCGAAAGAUUUUCAAGACUUCCUUUUCAUACUCUGAAUUCCAAGGAGUGUCCAGGAACAGAUACUUAAAGAAGAGGAACAGAUACUUAUCAUGGACGUGGUUACAUAAUUAGAUUGCUCACUGCAGAAUGUAUGGGCUUGUUUAUACAGUAACUCUUACAUAUGGUCAGAAUGGGGCGGCAGGGUAGCCUAGUGGUUAGACUGUAGGACAUUCAAAACCCCCGAGCUGACAAGGUACAAAUCUGUCGUUCUGCCCCUGAACAGGUAGUUAACCCACUGUUCCUAGGCCGUCAUUGAAAAUAAGAAUGUGUUCUUAACUGACUUGCCUAGUUAAAUAAAGGUAAAAUAAAAAAUAAUAAAAAAGAAGGCUGGCUUAAAUGUAUAAUUUAGACUGAUUGAGACCAUUGUCCACAAGCUACACUGCCUUGUCAAACUAUGGCAUUCCGCUUGAUCAUAAUGGCAAAGCAGUGGGAAACUUGGUGACUUUUAGUUUUCGUGAACAAAGAAUGUAAAUACUAGGAAUGGGAGACCACUGAGCCUGGUUGUCCCUGACGUUCUUUCUGGCCAUUCUCUUUCUUACCACAAGGUGAUGAUACUGCACCAGUCAUUUUCUGAUGGUGCACAAGUUAUCUCACCAGUCAGAGAGCGGUGAACUACAACUCUCUCUCUCUCUCUCUCUCGC
rnacentral:lncRNA from 1 species